rnacentral:lncRNA from 1 species
CAGGUGGCCUGCAUUGCUCCAGGGAACAGCUAACGCGGCCUGUGGCCUUACUUCCUCAAGCCUUAAUUCCUCUGUGGGCUGCCGAGCUUAGUGUGUUUUGUCUGUUCUUCACUGGACUGUACCCACUCUCUGAGAGCUGCCCAGACAUGCGCUAUCCCGGAGAAGGCAGCCACCCACCGAGGCUUCCCAGGUCGUGAGAAAGGCGCUGGGGGACACACCUCACACCCGCGGCGGCUUGUUACGGCAUGUCCACCAGGGGGCAGCAAAGAGCGGAGGCCUACACCGGACUUGGCGGCAGGAAUGUGGCGUUUUCUGGCUAGGGCGAGGACAGGAAGCUGCUGCAGUCACUGUGUACUGGGGAGAUCCUGGCAAUGGACAAUGCACAUGGUGUUUUAAUGUCAUGGUCAAGUCACAUUGAUUUCAUGGAACGAGGAAGAGUCCUGGUACUUUGAGCGUCCACGGAGAAAACUAGGAGCUGAUCAAAGGCAGACAGCACAAAGCCAUAAGAAAUACAGAAUCCAGGCCGGUGAGAUGGCUCAGUGGGUUAGAGCACCCGACUGCUCUUCCGAAAGUCCAGAGUUCAAAUCCCAGCAACCACAUGCUGGCUCACAACCAUCUGUAACAAGAUCUGACUCCCUCUUCUGGAGUGUCUGAAGACAGCUACAGUGUACUUACAUAUAAUAAAUAAAUUAAAAAAAAAAAAAGAAAUACAGAAUCCAGCAGUGGAAAGAUGGCCCAACAGUUAAAAGCACUUGUUGCUUUCUCAGAGGAUUUCAGUUUGGUCCCCAGCACCCCAUUAGGUGGCCCCCUCAGGCUGUAAUUCCAGCUCCAUGGGAUCUGAUUCUCUACUCCGUAGGUACACCCC